GGAUGGCUCAGUUGGUUAGAGCAUGGUGCUGAUAAUACCAAGGUUGCAGGUUUGAUCCCCAUAUGGGACA
rnacentral:tRNA from 1 species